rnacentral:rRNA from 1 species
AAUACGUUCCCGGACCUUGCACACACCGCCCGUCAAGCCAUGGAAGCUGGGUGUACCUAAAGUCGAUAACCGCAAGGAGUCGCCUAGGGUAAACUAGUAACUGGGGCU